AUUAGCAGUAACCAGUUCAUAGAUAUGGGCCAGUAGGACCUGCUACACCUGCUAGUUUGUUCACAAGGUUGUUAUCAUCCAUCCAGAUGGAGGAUCACUAACAGGAGGAUGGGAAGACUCCAGAAUCCACUCUGACUGGAUUCUGGUGGAUACAGCAGUGUUUACAGGUAAGACCAUUUAAAUGGACAGCAUUUAUAGAGUUUAUCAUCCUCAUACUGACCCAGGGUCAGUGUAACAUACAAUCCUACCUGUGUGAACAAAGUCUGGCUCCUUUAAUCCUGCAUGACAAACCUCAGGAUGCAGGUCAGCUGGAGACUUUGAAGUUUCGUAGCAUUGGGCCUGAUGAUGUCGGGUGUAGACAGAUUUCAGAGGAGCAAAGAGGAGCACUGUUGCUUCAUCAUUAACACUUUAAAGCAGAACUGGAUGGAAAUCAAAGGUCCUUAAAAGCUUUUUCUGCUCCCCGACCCUCAAAGCCAAACUUCACCCAUGAGAGCUGACGGGAUACGAUUAUUAAAAAGUGACGUUAUCAGAAACAAAGGUUCAGUAAAUAUCAAACACUUCAGUGGAUUUUCUCUCACAUAUAUUUGGUGUUUGCCCUGCGAUAAACUGUCCUGCUUUUGCCCCGUGGCAGCUGGGACAGGCUUCAACCCUGAAGUGGAAAUAUUGUAUUCCAAGUAUGUAAUCUGAUCAUUUACAAAGUCAAAGUCUCUCAUCAACAUGUAAGUAAUGAUUAUAAACAUGGGAAAGCAGACAUAAAGGUGACAUAUGAGGACAGCUACAUGUAGUGUGUUUGCAGGUCUAUCAGCACAUAGAAGAGUUUGUUAAAGUCUGAUUCAGUGAACCCUGAUUGGUCCAGUCUGUCUGGAUAAAUUCAGUUAGCUGAUCUGUGACCAGUUAUUCACACAUUUUCUAAACUAAUGAUUCAGUUCAGGAUCACAGAGGGGCUGGAGCUGGAUAUGUUCAAUAAAUACACCUUACAAAAGUCAACAAUAAACCUGCAUCCAUGUACGUUGUUGUCCACAGGAGGAGAAAAUCCAGAUGAUCAAAGUGGAAGACUGUGGAACAUGUGAAUGCAUGUUUGUGUGUUUAUGCCUGUGUCUUUCAGAGGAGGCUGGAGGCUCUGAAAGGCUCCCCCACCAGUUCCUGCUCAAUCAAAGCAGCAAACUUGAUG